AAGUCGUAACAAGGUUUCCGUAGGUGAACCUGCGGAAGGAUCAUUAACAUUAUUCUCUUUUACUUUGGGUUUUGUGUUGUUGUUUGAGUUAAAUCUUUUGAUUUGAUUCAAAUCAUUCACAACUCCCAUUCCACCCCAAAUGUGCAUUGUGUUGUGCUUUUUGAGUCAAAUCAAAAGCACUUCUUUUUUAUCUAUCUAUACUAAAUAAAACCCCUUUUUAUUACUUCUAGACUGACUUUAAACCACUUGAUUCGUACACUUCAUACUGUACGAUGACCAAUCAUAAUACAACUCUUAGCAACGGAUAUCUAGGCUCUC
rnacentral:misc_RNA from 1 species